rnacentral:rRNA from 1 species
UGAGGAAUUUUGCGCAAUGGGCGAAAGCCUGACGCAGCGACGCCGCGUGGAGGAUGAAGGUCUUCGGAUUGUAAACUUCUGUUAAGUGGGACGAAAAGCUUAUUUUUAAUAGAGAUAAGUCAUGACGGUACUACUAGAGAAAGCACUGGCUAAUCUCGUGCCAGCAGCCGCGGUAAUACGAGAGGUGCAAACGUUAUUCGGAUUUAUUGGGCGUAAAGGGUGUGUAGGCGGUUUGUUAAGUCUACUGUUAAAUUUCUCGGCUUAACCGAGAGCAAGCAGUAGAUACUGAUGAACUAGAGGAUGGAAGAGAGAAGUGGAAUUCUUGGAGUAGCGGUAAAAUGCGUAGAUCUCAAGAGGAACACCGAUGGCGAAGGCAGCUUCUUGGUCCAUUCCUGACGCU